rnacentral:misc_RNA from 1 species
UGAAACAUUUCAAACAGGAAGACCUCAAAGUGAUAUGUGAGGUGAUCAACCUUUGCAUCCACCCGACUACGAGUAGAAGGACAUCCAUUAAGGACCUCUGUGCUAUUCUGGAGAGCAACAUUGACACUUCCAUCACUGCAGAGCUCAAGGCGUCUUCGUUGGCAUGGGCCGAGCUUGCACUUUCAUCCUAACUAACAGAAGGCUAACACAGUAUAUAUAUCCGAAAUAUGUAAUUGUCUAGCGCUUUCUCCUUUUCGUUUUUUGACCUCUCGAUUUCGUUCCCUAUGUGUUCUGGAGUGAUGGUUGAGUUCAUGUAAAUUUUGAGUCUGUA